rnacentral:rRNA from 1 species
CGUAGGGUGCGAGCGUUAAUCGGAAUUACUGGGCGUAAAGCGUGCGCAGGCGGUUUUGUAAGACAGAUGUGAAAUCCCCGGGCUCAACCUGGGACCUGCAUUUGUGACUGCAAGGCUAGAGUACGGUAGAGGGGGAUGGAAUUCCGCGUGUAGCAGUGAAAUGCGUAGAUAUGCGGAGGAACACCGAUGGCGAAGGCAAUCCCCUGGACCUGUACUGACGCUCAUGCACGAAAGCGUGGGGAGUAAACAGGAUUAGAUACCCUGGUAGUCCACGCCCUAAACGAUGUCAACUGGUUGUUGGGUCUUUACUGACUCAGUAACGAAGCUAACGCGUGAAGUUGAACCGCCUGGGGAGUACGGCCGCAAGGUUG